AUGGACACUUCUCCAGGCUUUGUGACUGCAAUACUCCUCAUAUUUGGAAGGACCCAUGGAGACUCUGUGACUCAAACAGAAGAUCAAUUGACCAUCUCAGAAGGCGGGUUCCUGACAAUAAACUGCACAUAUAUAAUCACAAAUAUAGGGUCUGCUGCUCUUUUCUGGUAUGUUCAAUAUCCUGGAGAAAGCCUACAGUUCCUCCUGAAAGUCAUUACAGCUGGUGCAAAGGGAAGCAGCAGAGGAUUUGAAGCCGCAUAUGAUAAAGGAUCCAGCUCCUUCCACUUGGAGAAAGCCUCAGUUCAAGAAUCUGACUCGGCUGUGUACUACUGUGCUCUGAGAGACACAGCGGCAGAAACUGCAGGGGGAGCUGAGCACAAACUAAGAGGCAGCAGGUGGGCUGGCUGCUGA